rnacentral:rRNA from 1 species
UUUUCCUACGGGGGGCAGCAGCCGCGGUAAUACAUAGGGAGCAAGCGUUAUCCGGAUUUAUUGGGUGUAAAGGGUGCGUAGACGGGAAAUUAAGUUAGUUGUGAAAUCCCUCGGCUUAACUGAGGAACUGCAACUAAAACUGAUUUUCUUGAGUACUGGAGAGGAAAGUGGAAUUCCUAGUGUAGCGGUGAAAUGCGUAGAUAUUAGGAGGAACACCAGUGGCGAAGGCGACUUUCUGGACAGUAACUGACGUUGAGGCACGAAAGUGUGGGGAGCAAACAGGAUUAGAAACCCCAGUAGUCCAC